ACCAAGCUUUAUCUAUAAGUGCUCUUACUAAGUAGUUUUAUCUAAUUCACAAGGCUGACGUUCAUUUCAGAGUCCUCACUGAUCCACCGGGAACUUACUUCGAAGAAAAUUAUAAACAACUCAACCCAUCAUCUCUCCAUUUUCCGCUUCAUAUCCUCGAGAACUAGAAAGCACCUGUGAUUACUCUUGCUGUUAUCUGCGUACUUCUUUUAAGUAAUAUGACAAAAGGAGGCCCCGUUCCAGAAGGUGAGGUUGAAGCCCGUCAUCAUGAUGACCACCAUCACCAUGGACAUCAUCAUGGGCAUCACCACGACCAUGGGCAUCACCACGACCAUGGGCAUCAUCACGACCAUGGGCACCAUCACGAUCAUCAUCAUGACCAUCAUCAUGAUCAUCACCAUGAUCAUCACCAUGGGCAUCACCAUCACCACGGACAUCACCACCAUCAUGGACAUCAUCACGGGCAUCAUCAUGGCCACCAUCACUGAAAUGGCCAUGUUUCUCGACGCUCCGAUUUUUGUUUUCGAAAAAUUGAUUAAAAUAUGGUUAUAAAUAAUGUCCAUAUAAAAAUAACACAAAGCAAAGCAAUUAGUAACGUACAUGGAAAGAACCUGCGAUUUCGAAUAUUAAAAAAAAUGACUUAAACGCAGAUAAAAAUGUUGCGUUUAUAUCAAAACAUAAAUUAAACGUAUAUGGUUUAUUCAUUUCUUGUGUAACUGCGCUAUAACAACUUUAUUUAUCGUACAGGCGAGAAACGGAAUUACUAAAUAUAUUUUUUCAUUGGUUAGUUAUUAGUUACUCUUCCAAAUCUUGAUUAACUGUGAAGACACUCUAACCUAUUAUCAAAUGCUUAUUUUAAUUUUAAAUGUCUUGAGUUUUAUAUUGCUUCUAAUAUAAGAUUCCAAUAUUUUUCACCUUGUAGGAAGAUAAAAACCAUGCAAUUUCUCUUCCUUUCUUUUUUGUUGAAUUUCUUUCAUUGCUAAACGUUUUUGAUCAAAAGAUAUUAAUUUCUAUACUUCUGAAAAAAGAAAUAUAUAUGGAGUAUAUGCAUAAUAGAUUUUAUAUAAUGUUUCUAUAUGAAUUAAAUACCUCAGUUUUUUACUUUUUUACAAAGUUUUAUUUUGAACAAAGUUCAGUGAAUUGUAUAUCGUUAAAUCUUAUUUCAUGCUGAUUCAGAAUGUUCAUUGUGUUUAUAAAUUAGUUAAUGUGUCACAAAAUAUGUUGAAGUUUAGUAAAAAAUACUGAUUAAUGCUAUGAAAUCUGCUAAACUGGAAAAUGUUUUGAAUCAGAUAAACGAAACAAUAAACAAGCUACCGGAUUUUAAAAAAUGGAAGAAUGGAUACAUGUGCCUUUUUUUUAUUUACAUGCAUGUACAUGCAUAUAAGUAUUUUGCCCAUAACAGUGUAUCUUAAGUGCUUAAACAGGCACUCCCUAAUACUAUUUACAUUAUUUGCAAUCCAUCUCAAUAACGCGCGUUAGUUCGAAAUCUUAAAGUGUAGUAAUCUCAAUAAAGGAUUCAACAGAUAAUGAAAAUUUAUUUCAUGAAACAAAAGUUCUCUAUUCAUUCCACCUUUGCUUUAUAAAUAGAGCUAAUUUAGCAUUUCAGCUAAAUAAAUUAAUUUUAUUAAUUGCUAAGACUGGUUUUACCCCUAGACUGGCUUGUCGCAAUAUAGGAGAGAGUAUCAGAAAUAAUGCCCAUAUCCGUGAAUUCGAUGAUGUAUUUUAAUCAAAACCAAUUUUAAAAGUUUACUAAGGUUUCACUAAGCUUUUAUUAUUUCCAUAUUAAACUUUAUUUACGUUUUGGCAAAUAUGAAUGAGCAAAGGAAUGUCAAGCAUUAUAUUUAUAUAUGAAUCUAGGCUUCGGAAAUUGAAUGCAUAAUAGAACAUAUAUGAUACAAGAUGCAUAAUAUACGAGUAGUUGGCAAGAACUUUUUUCUGAACAUUUCUAGUACAAUUAUUGUUUCAAGGAAAACUCAAAAUGUAUCUUGACGAUAUAUUUCAGCUUUUGUAAAUGCUAAUUAGGAUAUAAAGAGCACAAAGUGAUAAGAAUAUAACCGUAUACUGAAUGGAAGCGAAAAAAAGUAACUUUGUUUAGUUUUUGUUUAUGAAAUGAUGAAAUAUAAUCGAGUAUUCAACAUUUUACUUUUUGCUUAAAUAUGAAUUAAAAAAUAAAUAUAAAAUCUGCAUUUUAAACGUAAACUCUUGUAAUAUUGCUAUUCCACUGUUUCUACUUUUUGCAUGUUCUAUAGUUUUAUGUUACCUGUUUAGAACAUCCUUAAACGAUUUGAAUCUAAAAUAUUUCUUGUAUCAUAUUAUUCAUUAUGUUGUUUAAUUUUAAUGCAUAAUAUUCUUUUAAUGAGAUUUAUAUUUUAAUCUUUGUAUUCUCAUGUUUGGGGAAAAUUGCUUAUCUUUCUUUUGCCUGUUUGCUUUUGUGUUUGAAAUAAUAGACGUUAAUAAAAUAACUUCUAUGAAA
rnacentral:lncRNA from 1 species